rnacentral:rRNA from 1 species
AUUGAACGCUGGCGGCAGGCCUAACACAUGCAAGUCGAGCGGAUGAAGGGAGCUUGCUCCUGGAUUCAGCGGCGGACGGGUGAGUAAUGCCUAGGAAUCUGCCUGGCAGUGGGGGAUAACGUCCGGAAACGGGCGCUAAUACCGCAUACGUCCUGAGGGAGAAAGUGGGGGAUCUUCGGACCUCACGCUAUCAGAUGAGCCUAGGUCGGAUUAGCUAGUUGGUGGGGUAAAGGCCUACCAAGGCGACGAUCCGUAACUGGUCUGAGAGGAUGAUCAGUCACACUGGAACUGAGACACGGUCCAGACUCCUACGGGAGGCAGCAGUGGGGAAUCUUGGACAAUGGGCGAAAGCCUGAUGCAGCCAUGCCGCGUGUGUGAAGAAGGUCUUCGGAUUGUAAAGCACUUUAAGUUGGGAGGAAGGGCAGUAAGUUAAUACCUUGCUGUUUUGACGUUACCAACAGAAUAAGCACCGGCUAACUUCGUG